GAUGAACGCUGGCGGCGUGCCUAAUACAUGCAAGUCGAGCGAACGGACGAUAAUCUUGCUUCUCUGAUGUUAGCGGCGGACGGGUGAGUAACACGUGUAUAACCUACCUAUAAUACUGGUAUAACUUCGGGAAACCGGAGCUAAUACCGGAUAAUAUUUUGAACCGCAUGGUUCAAAAGUGAAAGACGGUCUUGCUGUCACUUAUAGAUGGAUCCGCGCUGCAUUAGCUAGUUGUUAAGGUAACGGCUUACCAAGGCAACGAUGCAUAGCCGACCUGAGGGGGUGAUAGGCCACACGGGAACUGAGACAGCGUCAAGGCUACUACGGGAGGCAGCAGUAGGGAAUGUUACGCAAUGGGCGAAAGCAUGACGGAGCAACGCGGAGUGAGAGAUGAAGGUCUUCGGAUCGUAAAAAUCUGUUAUUAGGGAAGAACAUAUGUGUAAGUAAAUGUGCACAUAUUGACGGUAACUAAUCAGAAAGCCACGGCUAACUACGUG
rnacentral:rRNA from 1 species